UUGGAGGGCAAGUCUGGUGCCAGCAGCCGCGGUAAUUCCAGCUCCAAUAGCGUAUAUUAAAGUUGUUGCAGUUAAAAAGCUCGUAGUUGAAUUUCGGGAUUGACGUGAUGGUCAUGCCUUAAGGGGUAUGAACUGUUACUGUUGAUUUCUCACCUUCUGGAGAAACUUGAUGUCCUUUAUUGGGUGUCUUGCGGAUCCAGGACCUUUACCUUGAAAAAAUUAGAGUGUUUAAAGCAGGCAUUUUUUGCUCGAAUACAUUAGCAUGGAAUAAUAGAAUAGGACGGCAUGGUUCUAUUUUGUUGGUUUCUAGGAUCACCGUAAUGAUUAAUAGGGAUAGUUGGGGGCAUUAGUAUUCAAUUGUCAGAGGUGAAAUUCUUGGAUUUAUUGAAGACUAACUACUGCGAAAGCAUUUGCCAAGGAUGUUUUCAUUAAUCAAGAACGAAAGUUAGGGGAUCGAAGACGAUCAGAUACCGUCGUAGUCUUAACCAUAAACUAUGCCGACUAGGAAUCAGACGAUGUUAAUUUUUUAAUGACUCGUUUGGCACCUUACGGGAAACCAAAGUGUUUGGGUUC
rnacentral:rRNA from 1 species